rnacentral:rRNA from 1 species
AGGGAAUCUUCCGCAAUGGACGAAAGUCUGACGGAGCAACGCCGCGUGAGUGAUGAAGGUUUUCGGAUCGUAAAACUCUGUUGUUAGGGAAGAACAAGUACCAGAGUAACUGCUGGUACCUUGACGGUACCUAACCAGAAAGCCACGGCUAACUAC